rnacentral:misc_RNA from 1 species
GAUGAAGAACGUAGCGAAAUGCGAUAAGUAAUGUGAAUUGCAGAAUUCAGUGAAUCAUCGAAUCUUUGAACGCACAUUGCGCCCCCUGGUAUUCCGGGGGGCAUGCCUGUUCGAGCGUCAUUACAACCCUCAAGCUCUGCUUGGUGUUGGGCCCCGCCGCCCCGGCGGGCCCUAAAGUCAGUGGCGGUGCCAUCCGGCUCCGAGCGUAGUAAUUCUUCUCGCUCUGGAGGCCCGGGUGUGUGCUCGCCAGCAACCCCCAAUUUUUUUCAGGUUGACCUCGGAUCAGGUAGGGAUACCCGCUGAACUUAAGCAUAUCAAUAAGCGGAGGA